UACGUAGAGUCCGAGCGUUGUCCGGAAUUACUGGGCGUAAAGAGCUCGUAGGUGGUUUGUCGCGUUGUCCGUGAAAACUCACAGCUCAACUGUGGGCGUGCGGGCGAUACGGGCAGACUGGAGUACUGCAGGGGAGACUGGAAUUCCUGGUGUAGCGGUGGAAUGCGCAGAUAUCAGGAGGAACACCGGUGGCGAAGGCGGGUCUCUGGGCAGUAACUGACGCUGAGGAGCGAAAGCGUGGGGAGCGAACAGG
rnacentral:rRNA from 1 species